GACGGAGGGUGCUAGCGUUGUUCGGAAUGACUGGGCGUAAAGGGCGCGUAGGCGGCUCGUGAAGUCGGGUGUGAAAGCCCGGGGCUCAACCCCGGAACGGCAUCCGAUACUGGCGGGCUUGAGACCGGGAGAGGAGGGUGGAAUACCCAGUGUAGAGGUGAAAUUCGUAGAUAUUGGGUGGAACACCCGUGGCGAAGGCGGCUCUCUGGGACGGUACUGACGCUGAGACGCGAAAGCGUGGGGAGCGAACAGG
rnacentral:rRNA from 1 species